rnacentral:rRNA from 1 species
UACGUAGGGUGCGAGCGUUGUCCGGAAUUACUGGGCGUAAAGAGCUCGUAGGUGGUUUGUCACGUCGUCUGUGAAAUUCCAGGGCUUAACCUCGGGCGUGCAGGCGAUACGGGCAAUACUUGAGUGCUGUAGGGGAGACUGGAAUUCCUGGUGUAGCGGUGAAAUGCGCAGAUAUCAGGAGGAACACCGAUGGCGAAGGCAGGUCUCUGGGCCACUACUGACGCUGAGAAGCGAAAGCAUGGGGAGCGAACAGGAUUAGA